CCGCCAGGCGGUGUUGGAAAGAUCGCGCCACCACCAUCAACAGCCGGCGGUUCAGUGCGACAAAGUCCGGGAACUUCGCCUGCACAUAAAGCGCCUGGUGGUCCAGGCACCGAGUGGACGGAUUAUGCCUCGGCAGGUGGUCAAGGCCAGGCACAACAGCAGCAGAAUGCAACAAACGCAAAUUGGGUGCAAUUCUAAUUAGGUUUGAACAAAUAUAUAAAUACAUAUACAUAAACUCAUUCAGAGAAGCAUAAAAGUAAAUGUAUGUACAUUAAUAACAUACUAAUGCUAGAAAGAUUUAACAACAAACAAAGAAAAUGAAACGGAAAAUUAAAAAAGCUUUUGGCCAGAAUCGUAUUGCAUAUAAUUUAUUGCAUUCAUGUUAGUAAUAUUUUACGCGGCUAUGUAUAAGUACAUGUAACACUAAUCAUACAAUAUCGACAAUUUAACGAAAUUU
rnacentral:lncRNA from 1 species